rnacentral:lncRNA from 12 species
AUCAUAGUUCCUUGCAUAAACCACUUUGAAGAAAAAAAAAAGAAAGAAAGAAAGAAAAAGUUCAAAGGGGAUGUCCAGAGGAUAGCUCUCUGGGUCUACAAUGAAUUGAUUCUUAGUCAACAGGGGAAUUUCUCAAACAUUCUUAAAGCUCAACCCAGAACAGCAUCUGUCAGCAGUGUCUGUCUUCCAGGCAUACUUCUCCCAUGGACCACACACCACUUGACACCGUGGGCCUUCUGUGGCGAUGCCCAUCUUCCCAGCCCCGGCUGCAGUUCUGGACCAGGAAGCAAACAGGACAUCUGGGGCCAAAGCUGUCACAACAACAGUAUUGACCCCUCCAGGAGAGCAUCAGAACCCUUAGAGGGGGGCAGCCACUUCAGGAGAGUAGGUUCCAUCAGGAGGUAUCUUUGUUCCAGGACUUUCCAGAGACAUUUCCCUUUUGUCCAUCAUCAAUCUUCUUUGUGUCUGUGUGAGGAUCUUGGCCUCUUCUGCGGUGACAGGAAUGUUCUUCUUUUGAUCUGGGUAAGCAUAUUCGCAGAUUCACUUACGUACCAGACACCAAAUGCAUUGGCCCCUUGAUAUUAUACUUCCCAGCCUCCAGAACUCUGAGAAAUAAGUGUAUAAAUAGAUAUAUAGAGAGACAUACGUCUAAUUUCUGGCCUUUGGUGCUCACCUUGAAUUCUUGGCACUAGGCCUGCAGGAUGUUUUGGUGAAGCAAGUUGGCUGGUGGCAGUUUCAAAGGUAAUGGAGGAACUGGGAUUUUCUUCUGAAUUCUUACUCUUGUACUCUUGCCUUGUGCCGUCCUUUCUGAACAGGAAGUUUCGCCUUCUCUCAUAGAUCUUUUCCGUUUGGUCCCACUUGCUGAGGUUCCUGGUAACUUUGGUUGACCCGAAGCCUGCUGUUUCUCUUUGGUUUCUUCUGAUACAGGUUGGGAUUGGCCAGCCAGAUAGUCUUCCCCUGACUUCCUGGAGCUCUGAAGAUUUUCUUCCCCCCUUCCUUUGUUCUCCCUCAAACUGUUUCUUAAAUUAGCCAGUGGGAGCUGCUUUAAUUGCUUCCUCUGCCUCUUUGUUAUGACCUCUAUAAUGUUUGAUUACUUUCUUGCUUUUCAGCGCAAGAUGUUGCAGAUUUAUUUGACAGAUUUUCCAUUCAGACCUGGAAACAGUCAGUUUCCUGAGGAGGAAAAUAAAGCUCCGAGACCAGAAUUGGGGCCCCA